AGCCAGCAGCCGCGGUAAGACGGAGGGAGCAAGCGUUGUCCGGAUUUACUGGGCGUAAAGCGCGCGUAGGCGGCCUAUUAAGUCGGUUGUGAAAGCGUUGGGCUUAACCCAGCAACUGCAGUCGAUACUGGUAGGCUCGAGUUCGGGAGAGGGAAGCGGAAUUCCUGGUGUAGCGGUGGAAUGCGUAGAUAUCAGGAAGAACACCGGUGGCGAAGGCGGCUUCCUGGACCGAUACUGACGCUGAGGCGCGAAAGCUAGGGGAGCGAACGGGAUUAGAUACCCCGGUAGUCCUAGCCGUAAACGAUGGUCACUAGGUGUUGCGGGUAUCGACCCCUGCAGUGCCGAAGCUAACGCAUUAAGUGACCCGCCUGGGGAGUACGGCCGCAAGGUUGAAACUCAAAGGAAUUGACGGGGGCCCGCACAAGC
rnacentral:rRNA from 1 species